CCUACGGGAGGCAGCAGUGAGGAAUAUUGCUCAAUGGACGAAAGUCUGAAGCAGCGACGCCGCGUGAGGGAUGAAGUCCGUUUGGAUGUAAACCUCUUUUGCAGAAGAAGAAUGUUUCGAUUUCUCGAAAUUGACGGUAUUUUGCGAAUAAGCACCGGCUAACUACGUGCCAGCAGCCGCGGUAAUACGUAGGGUGCGAGCGUUGUCCGGAAUUACUGGGUGUAAAGGGUCCGCAGGCGGGCGAGUAAGUCUGUGGUGAAAUCUUACGGCUUAACCGUAAAUUGCCACGGAAACUGAUUGCCUUGAGUGUGAAAGAGGAAGAUGGAAUUCAUGGUGUAGCAGUGAAAUGCGUAGAUAUCAUGAAGAACACCGGUAGCGAAGGCGAUCUUCUGGUUCACAACUGACGCUCAGGGACAAAGCGUGGGGAGCAAACAGGAUUAGAUACCCUGGUAGUCCACGCCCUAAACCAUGGAUACUCGAUGUCGGAUCGAAGUNUUCGGUGUCUGAGACGAACGACGAGUAAGUACGUACCGACCGUCGGGAGGUACGGACGUCGUCGUAGGUUAGUUAACGUACGUUAAGGUUAAGUUAGUUACGGCGUUGAGACGUUGCGACGGACGACGACGAGGGAGGAGG
rnacentral:rRNA from 1 species